rnacentral:tRNA from 1 species
GCGUCGUUCGUCUAAAGGUCAGGAUAUGGAGUUUUCGCCUCCAUGAUGUAGGGUUCGAGUCCCUCACGACGCGCCA